rnacentral:rRNA from 1 species
UACGUAGGUGGCAAGCGUUGUCCGGAUUUACUGGGCGUAAAGAGCGCGCAGGCGGUCGUUCAAGUCGCGUGUGAAAGCCCCCGGCUCAACUGGGGAGGGUCACGCGAUACUGAUCGACUCGAAGGCAGGAGAGGGUAGUGGAAUUCCCGGUGUAGUGGUGAAAUGCGUAGAUAUCGGGAGGAACACCAGUAGCGAAGGCGGCUCGCUGGGCCAUUCCUGACGCUGAGACGCGAAAGCUAGGGGAGCGAACAGG